AGUAAAUUCUAUUCAUGAAAAUUUACUAAACUAAAACCAUAUUUUAACAGAAAAAACAAUAAAAUAACGUAGAAAUAUUAAGAUGGUAUGUUGUUUUACAGAGAAAAUUAGAAGAAUUAUAAGAUUCGAGGAAAAAGAUACUUGAAAUAUUUGAAUGGAAGAAAUUAAGGAGCAAGACGUUGAUAGUAUACUGAUUUCGAUUGGAGAAUUCGGCAGAUGUCAAAAAUUGUUAUUAGUUGUUAUAAGUUUUCUAAUGAUACCAACAGCAUCACAAGUACUUAUCAUGACUUUUCUAGAAAUAAACCCAUCUUGGAGAUGUAGUGGUAAUGGAAGCUUUGAAUGCAAUAGAACAGGAGAGUUUUCAAUAUCACAUGAGUUUUAUCAUAAUAGGUGCAAAAUGAAAAGAAAUUCUUGGAGUUUUGUAAAAGAAAAGGGAUUUUCGAUUAUAACUGAGUGGGAUUUAGUGUGUGGAAAGGCUUCACUAGCAUACAUAAUCUUUAGCAUUAUGCAAGUUGGAGAUGCCUUAGGCGGAGUUCUUGUAGGAAUGCUAUCAGACAAGUAUGGUAGAAAAAAAGUACUCUAUGUGUCAUGGUUUGGAUUCAUAGUUAUUGCUACCAUUUCAUCAUUGGUUCAUAAUUUUUGGGUUUUUCUUCAUUUACAAUUCCUAGUUGGUAUACUUCAUGGAGGAUCCUUUAAUGUCCAAUGGGUUUUAAUGUCAGAGAUGUUAGGACCAAACAGUAGAAGUUACUUGAACAUUCUUUGGUGUGUUUAUUCUUUUGCUUUAAGUUUUAUGUCACUUCAAUCAUGGUUAAUACCAAAAUGGAGAGCUUUUGAAUUGACAAUGACGACACCUUAUUUGAUAUUGCUGGUUACAUACAAAUUUGUUCCUGAAUCUGUACGUUGGCUUCAUGCAAACAAUAAAAGAGAUUUGGCUGAAAAAGUUCUUCGAAAUAUCGCAAAGUGCAACAAGAAAAUGUUUCCAAAGGUGAAGUUGUGUAAUGCAAACAACAUUUCGAGUGCUGUUGACUUAACCAAAACAUCUAUUAAAUAUGUGUUUUUUCCUUUCAAAAUGUUUCUAAUCACCUUUUCUCAAAUGUCUAUUUAUUUUAGUGCUAGCCUUGCAUUUUAUGGCAUAUCUCUUUUUGCUGAAAACCUAAGUGGAAAUCUUCAUAGAGAUUUUGCUAUAGUGAGUCUUGUUGAUAUUCCUUCAAAUUUAAUAUCCAUCUGGCUAUGUAAUAGAUUUGGUAAAAAACGAACAACUAUGGUCUCAGCUGUUGCAGGUGGCUUUAACAUUGUUAUAUUAGCUUUUGUUCCUUUUACUGCAAGUUUAUCAUGGAUAAGAGUUUUAAUUGGUACCUCAGGAAAGUUUUUUGCAAAUAUCUCCUUCAAUGUUAUAUAUAUUUGGUCGACAGAAAUAUAUCCUACAGGUGUAAGCUGCUGUAAUAGGCACAUCAGUAUCACCUUGGAUUACUCAAUACUUAGUACAAUUUCAUCAAACACUGCCAUUCGUUAUAAUAGGAAGCUUACUUAUUUUAUCUGGAAACUUAAGUUGCUUUUUACCUGAAGUAAAUAAGGAAAAUCUUUCUGAUACAAACGAGGAGAACCAGUCAGAAAAACAAAGUCUUCUUUAAAGGUUUUUGCACAAUCAAGUAUUGAAGAUCAGAUGUUUUUCAAUCAAUAAUGAAAAAAAGAAAUUUUACCAAGUGUUCGAAA
rnacentral:misc_RNA from 1 species